GUUUAUUUGUGUGUGGAUGGUGUUCUGCACCAGGGACAGGCCUGUUUAUUUGUGUGUGGAUGGUUUUUAGCACCAGGGACAGGCAUGUUUAUUU
rnacentral:pre_miRNA from 1 species